rnacentral:rRNA from 1 species
UACGUAGGGUGCGAGCGUUAAUCGGAAUUACUGGGCGUAAAGCGUGCGUAGGCGGUUCGUUAAGUCAGCUGUGAAAGCCCCGGGCUCAACCUGGGAACUGCGGUUGAAACUGGCGAACUAGAAUCUGGCAGAGGGGGGUGGAAUUCCACGUGUAGCAGUGAAAUGCGUAGAGAUCCGGAAGAACACCGGUGGCGAAGGCGGCCUGCUGGGCAGUGAGCUGACACUGAGGCGCGACAGCGUGGGGAGCAAACAGG